CCCAAUUAUCCCAAGCAAAAAAAGUAAAACACUGGAGGCAUCAUAUUGCCUGACUUCCAAUUAUACUACAGAGCCAUAGUAACUAAAACAGCAUGGUACUGGUAUUAAAAAUAGACACAUAGAUCAAAGGAAUAGAAUAA